UACGAAGGGUGCAAGCGUUACUCGGAAUUACUGGGCGUAAAGCGUGCGUAGGUGGUUUGUUAAGUCAGACGUGAAAUCCCUCGGCUUAACCGGGGAACUGCGUCUGAUACUGGAUGGCUUGAGUUCGGGAGAGGGAUGCGGAAUUCCAGGUGUAGCGGUGAAAUGCGUAGAUAUCUGGAGGAACACCGGUGGCGAAGGCGGCAUCCUGGACCGACACUGACACUGAGGAGCGAAAGCCAGGGGAGCAAACGGG
rnacentral:rRNA from 1 species